AAGUGUUGUGUGUGUCAUCAAUCGCCAAAACAUUAUAUUGAAAUAUGGCAUGAGAGGCCAUUUUCGCUACACGUGGCCGCGGGGGAGAUCGAGCACGCUGCCGCUGGAGAUGCUGGGGCCGGCCGGAGCAUCAAAAGGACCCCGAGGCCGUGCACCGGACCGGUGCGGAUGGGACUAGCUUUCACAGAUCGAGUACUACUACCUCGGCAAGCCGGACAUAUUCGCUUUGGGAUGAGUUUUGUGCAUAUUGCGUCGUAAGAUACAUACAUAUUUUGUUGUCUCGUGCAGGAGUACAUUCGCAAGCGUCAGGGACCCAUUGAUUCCAUCCUUAAGGAGAUCCAUGAUUUUAAGCAUGACGUUGCUAUGCCUGCAAGCUUUGCUCAGGUCUGUGGAGAUGAGGAUAUGUUACAGAUGUUUGCGCUUAAGAUGAAAGGUUGUGGGACAAUUCUGGAGACGUCCUUGGAGCUUCGAAGUCCCACACCAAUAAACCGUGAGGCUUUGAUCAUGAUCGGGAAUAAUUUGAAGAUGGCUGCGCUGGAGUAUGAAGAGGGCUUAGAGACACUAGACAGGGUUGUCGCAUCCCUCAAAAUAAUGUGUGUCACAUCACUAGGAUGUCCAAAAGACUACUGGAGCCGCUCAACACCUGCAUGUCUACUCCGCCCUGCGUGUGAAGGUAACCAGGUCAACAACUAAUUCGUGUUAAUUACGCUGUGAGAAUUAUGCUGGCUAGCUACUUAUUUACGUAUUGUUGGGAACCAAGGUGGCCCUAAUACUCACUAUGCAGACAACUACACCUAAGACACACCAACUCACUCUAGAGUCGGUAGCUUUUUCAAUUUCUAGCUACUUAGUGUAUAAGGUAAUUUCGACGGCCGAGCCGUUUUCUCGUUUCCAGGUGGCAGAGUCUACCAACAGAUGAAGCUGGCUUCCGAGAGGCAGAGCCUUUCUACAAUGAAGCCCAGACCCUUUGUGAUCCCGGUUGGCAGAGCCAGCCUACGAUAGAUCACAACUUAUAAACUAAGUAUUUAAAAACUGGAAGACUAACACUUACAAGGGAACUCAAACAUUUAUUCACAGCUCAACUUGAUACAACACGAGAUGACAUUGACAAUCUUUAUGUGGCUAUCCUACGAUGACACCACUAUACUACAUUACAACAUUGUCAUCUCCUACUUGAGACCUCUUAUGCCAUGGUAUAGCAAGGGGGAGGGGGACACCCUAUUUAUAGGACAGCAUGAUUCAUAUGGUGUUGUCAUGUGUCCACCUUCUACACUCUUCUACAUUUCUAGAGUUUUCUCUAUCUUUAUCCUAUCAUACAAAUAUCUUCUCUAGAGAAUUCUACACUUCACCAUGAAGCAUGAUAACUAUUACUCAUACUUGCUCUCCACUCUUCUAGAACCUUCUUACAUUGGCAUAAUCUUAUCCUCAUGCAUUACAAAUUUAGUUUCUUGUGAUUUCCACAAUUUUCUAGCAUGUUCCAUGUAUGCAUUUCAUAUUUCAACAUGUAUGAUGAAUCAUGAUAUAUAUGGAGUUACGCUGUGAGAUUUAUGUUGGAUUGCUACUUAUUUAUGUAUGAUGAAUCAUAAUAUGGAGUUAUGUUGUGAGAAUUAUGCUGGCUUGCUA